GGAAUAUUGGUCAAUGGUCGGAAGACUGAACCAGCCAUGCCGCGUGCGGGAAGAAGGCCCUACGGGUUGUAAACCGCUUUUACGGGGGAGCAAUAAGCGUCGUGCGCGGCGCGAUGAGAGUACCCCGGGAAUAAGCAUCGGCUAACUCCGUGCCAGCAGCCGCGGUAAUACGGAGGAUGCGAGCGUUAUCCGGAUUUAUUGGGUUUAAAGGGUGCGUAGGCGGACCAGUAAGUCAGCGGUGAAAUGUCCCGGCUCAACCGGGUCACUGCCGUUGAUACUGCUGGACUGGAGUACAAACGGCGCAGGCGGAAUGUGUCAUGUAGCGGUGAAAUGCAUAGAUAUGACACAGAACACCGUUCGCGAAGGCGGCUUGCGAGCAUGGUACUGACGCUGAGGCACGAAGGCGUGGGGAUCGAACA
rnacentral:rRNA from 1 species